rnacentral:rRNA from 1 species
UCCUACGGGACGCAGCAGUGGGGAAUAUUGCACAAUGGGGGAAACCCUGAUGCAGCGACGCCGCGUGAGUGAAGAAGUAUUUCGGUAUGUAAAGCUCUAUCAGCAGGGAAGAUAAUGACGGUACCUGACUAAGAAGCCCCGGCUAACUACGUGCCAGCAGCCGCGGUAAUACGUAGGGGGCAAGCGUUAUCCGGAUUUACUGGGUGUAAAGGGAGCGUAGACGGCUGAGCAAGUCUGAAGUGAAAGGCGGGGGCUCAACCCCCGGACUGCUUUGGAAACUGUAUAGCUAGAGUGCAGGAGAGGUA